GAUGAACGCUGGCGGCGUGCUUAACACAUGCAAGUCGAACGAUUAAGACCCCUUCGGGGGUGUAUAGAGUGGCGAACGGGUGAGUAACACGUGGGUAACCUGCCCUUCACACCGGGAUAACUCGAGGAAACUCAAGCUAAUACCGGAUACUCCGUAUCCUCGGCAUCGGGGGAACGGGAAAGCCUUUACGGUGAAGGAUGGGCCCGCGGUCCAUUAGUUAGUUGGUGGGGUAACGGCCUACCAAGACCGCGAUGGAUAGCCGGGUUGAGAGACCGACCGGCCACAUUGGGACUGAGACACGGCCCAAACUCCUACGGGAGGCAGCAGUGGGGAAUUUUGCGCAAUGGGGGAAACCCUGACGCAGCAACGCCGCGUGCGGGAUGAAGGCCUUCGGGUUGUAAACCGCUUUCAGUAGGGAAGAAACAAGACAGUACCUACAGAAGAAGCUCCGGCUAACUACGUGCCAGCAGCCGCCGUAAUAC
rnacentral:rRNA from 1 species